rnacentral:lncRNA from 1 species
GGAGAGCGGAGGAAUGAAGGAGAGCAGAGAGGAGAGGCUUGGAGAAAAAUGAGAAGUCUCUCCAGCCCCAAUGACGGCAAGCACCCUGGAGCUGAGGGGGCUGAGUGGCGGCUGUGCCCUUUGGACAGAUCAUUCUCCUCUGGGUCUCUGCUCACAGACCUUCCAUCAAGAAAUUCACUACAGUGUGUUGGAACAGUCUAUGUACCUGACUACCACACAAGGGCUGUUGUAAGGAUCAAAUGGCAUCAUGAAUGGAGGGUACCAAGUCCUGCACCCAGCCUGCAGUGACUAGCACCUGCUCCCUGCUGAACAUGGUGGCUGGGGCUGGACAUGGUCCUUGGGGGUGUGAUCUGAGCAGCCUGCAGCAUUCUGGGCCUUUCAACUGCCGCAUCCUGGUACCAGUCUCAUGCUUCCUGGUACCCUACAGAUGGCUGUCUCCUGGUGGAGUCACCAGGUUGGAGGGGUCCUCAGAAUGCCAACAGAACAGAGCAGCCCUGAGCUCCGGCACCUGUCACUGUGGCUUGACUGGAUACAUAUCUCCAGACCAAGGCAAGCAUCUCUGGCAGAACCCACUGUGGAGAUCCUAAAUUGGCACCCCGUAGAGUGAGCUGUCUGAUUCUACAAAGGCAGUAUUUCUAGGUUUCAAAGGAACUGAAUAAUUUAAAAUGCACAAGACAAAAAGUGGGAUUAAGGUGAUCUGAUAGGCUCUCCAGGCUGGGGUAUCAAUUAUACUCUCAACUCGUAAAGCCUUAUUUGUGAGAUUCAGAAUUUAUUAUCUGUCUGAAGCACUAAUUACCAGGUUUCUCUCUUUUAAUUUUACAGGUCUCUUCUCAGAUUUAUUUUUCUCUUUUUUCCCUCCCACUGGGGACAAAUAGCUUCCAUUCCUGAAGGGAAGUUGCCUGCUUGGAGAUGGACAGAGGAAGAUAUUUGGGUUCAGCUUAUCCCCUCUGGGCACUUUGGGGGAAGCAGCAUGGGUUGGGGCAGGAGAACUCUAAUGUGUAUGUGUUAAUAAACUUACUGUUUUCUAAAAUUUUGUCAAAGGUAUGCAUGUUUAUAGUUUAAAGAGGUGAAGAGUUCCAUGUGGCCUACUGUAUUUUUCCUUCCUUGUAUAACUUUUAUUUUCCUAGGAGCUAAUAACUAUCUUGUUCUUUUGUUUGCUUGCCUUUCUCUGUACUUAUCACUAAUUCAACUCCAGAGUCUUUACUGAUUGCCUAUUCCAAUAUUUUCACCCACAUCAGGUGCUCUAUCAAUUUCAUUGUCCUGAAGAGUUUCCCUGACAGCCUUCUGACCUGG